UAGGGAAUCUUCGGCAAUGGACGAAAUUCUGACCGAGCAACGCCGCGUGAGUGAAGAAGGUUUUCGGAUCGUAAAACUCUGUUGUCAGAGAAGAACAAGGACGUUAGUAACUGAACGUCCCCUGACGGUAUCUAACCAGAAAGCCACGGCUAACUACGUGCCAGCAGCCGCGGUCAUACGUAGGUGGCAAGCGUUGUCCGGAUUUAUUGGGCGUAAAGCGAGCGCAGGCGGUUUCUUAAGGCUGAUGUGAAAGCCCCCGGCUCAACCGGGGAGGGUCAUUGGAAACUGGGAGACUUGAGUGCAGAAGAGGAGAGUGGAAUUCCAUGUGUAGCUGUGAAAUGCGUAGAUAUAUGGAGGAACACCAGUGGCGAAGGCGGCUCUCUGGUCUGUAACUGACGCUGAGGCUCGAAAGCGUGGGGAGCAAACAGG
rnacentral:rRNA from 1 species